rnacentral:rRNA from 1 species
GAUACCCUAUUAUUUUAAGCUAUAUAUUGGUAGUAAUUAAUAAUUUAUGAAAUCAUAAGAUUUUGGCGGUAUUUUAAGCUUAUUAGAGGAAUUUGCUCUGUAAUGGAUACAACGCCUUAAUCUUACUUAAUUUGGUUUUAAAGUCAGUUUGUAUACCACUAUAUUUAAUUAUAUUGAAUAAUUAUAUUUAAGAUUUUUUUUUAUAAAAAAUAUAUUAAGUCAAGGUGCAAUUUAUAAUUAUGAAUGAAGUGAAUUACAUUAAUUUUAAUUUUACUUAAAUAUUGAAAAAAAAAA